ACAGGGGUUCUCGCAGCGCCCCCCGCGGCCGCGGACCGUAGCGCAGUGGACCUUAGCGUCUCCUUUACCCUAAGACUUUACUAGACAGGCGGUUUGGAACCUGCUCUGAGCAACGACUCGCACAGGGCAUCCCUGAGGGCAGACAGAGCUUACCUGCGUGGACUCCAGGUGUAGAGAGUGCGACUUCCUAGUUGAUGAAGACAGACUUGGAUGGAAAUUUCCAGAAAUGUCCAUUCUUCCCACCCUCCCCACUCCCAGAGCCACUGCUUAGUAAGAAGUUUGGAUUGCUCACUCUCUGUGGCCCCACUAGCUCUUAGAUGGAGAAAACGCCAAUCUGUAAGUAAUAUGGAUCUAUGUGUAAGAUGCUCCUGUUAUUCUCAGAUUAUGAUUCAGGCCUCACAUCCCAGGUAGUGGACAGAGCUGACCAUAGGAUGAGAAUGGUCCGACAGCAAACACAGGAAAUGGAGAUCAUAUUAGUCCAGUGUGACUACUCCCAGGGGUGUGGAAACAAAUGCCUAUUGACCCCAGAUAAAUAACAGACUGAAGAAAAGAAACUUUCACCCAAGUCUAGCUUAGUGAACCAGUGAGUUUAUUUGGGGUUAUUUACAGGAGUAUGGAUGGUUCAGGGGCAGCCCCAUAACCAGAAAGCCCACCACAGCAUGAGUGAGGACUCACCAAAGCUUCUGCACUGGAGCACCUUGCGUGACUGGCAGCUUAGUAGUCAGAGAGCACUUGUUAUGAAUGUAUAAUUUUAGGAAAAGGGGUUUGUGAACUUUGUUUCAAGAGCUUUUAGAGACCUGUAAGUUCUGUUUACUUCCUAAGACUUAACAGAAAGGACUUUAGGGACCCAAGUCCACAGCCCAUUUCAUCAUCGUUGGAACAACUCUUCCAGCGUCCUCAAAAUGAGAACCCCAAACCCAGAGAUCCUAGGAAGUGGGAUAUGAAGCACAAUGUCUUCACAGGAAAGAUGAUGAGAUGGUUUGUAUAAGCUUGGCCCAGGAAGUGGCACUAUUAGAAGUUAUGUUCCUGUUGGAGUAGAUACGGCCUUGUUGGGGUGGGUGUGUCACUGUGGGCAUGGGGUUUCAAACCCUCAUCCUAGCUGCCUGGA